CAGACAGGACCCAAACUCAGGCAGUGCAGCCCCUGACCGCUAGGCUGUACCACCUCGCUAAGGAGUCGGUACAAGGAGCUCGUAAGAAGCAAGGGAAGUUCCUGCUGUGUAGCACAGGGAACUACAACUGGUCACUUGGGAUGGAACAUGACGGAGCAUAAUGUGAGAAAAAGAAUAUAUACAUGUGUGACUGGGUCAAGUGCUGUACAAUAGAAAUUGACAGACACUGUAAAUCAACUAUAAUGGAAAAAACAAAAAUCUUAAAAAAAAAAAAAAAAAAAGCAGCAGCAAGGGAAAGACUUUGGCUGGGGAGGGCCACUGGAAAGGCUCCAUGUCUUCUCGCUCCAGGCCAGUGCUGCUAGGUGGGGAACCAGGACACUGGCCCGCUCGGUCCUUCUCUUGCUGCGUCUCUUGAGACACAGGUCCUGCCGCUGGGCCUUCAUGUGCCCUUCUGUAAAAUGGGACGGGGUGGCUGGCCCGUGGGCCAGGUUUCCAUGUGGGCUGAUGCCCUGUCCUAGCUGCUUCUCAGGAGCCUCCAGGGGCCGUGGGACCAGCCGUUGGUCCUGCCCGGCCCCUGGCAGCCACACUGCAGGGACCGUCCACCCUAACCAUCACCCGUCUGUUCCAGACAUACACGGGGAAUUUUGCCUACUGGGUGCGGCCCGUGCUCUCCGAACACACUCUGCACGCGGCCCUGGGCAGGCUGGGCUACAGGGCCACCUCCAAGGCCGAGUUUUCACUGGUCCAGGCCGCCAGCGAGGAGGACACCAAGCAGAUGGUGUUUGAGAUCUUCCUGACCAGAGUCGCGUGUGAGGCUGUUCUCGGAACCUUGGGCGGACCCGUCCUCAGCGAGAAAGUGGCUGGGCGCCAUCGCAGGCCCAGCCCGGGGAGAGGGCCGGCGAAGACCCGCACCAGCCUCCGGGAGGCCCGGCCAAGCCUGAGCGCCCCCGCAGGGAUGGGGACGGACAGGACCCGGGCGGAAGGCGCUCAAGGUCAGGGCGCCCUGCCCAUGGCCUGGAGCCCGCCUGAGGUCCCAGUAGCCCCCCACAGUCCCCUCCCCGGCCCCCUGGUCCCUUUGGGCCCCUGGCGCCGUGCCAGCACACGCUCGGACAGCGAGGAGUUUCUGACCUGCUAUAGCGACCUCAUCCUGCACCAGACGCCCCUGUUCCCCGGGGACUGGUCCCCGAGCAGCCUGAAGGAACAGCAACUCCAGGGCCCAGCCCAGGCACCCGGCCCUCCUUUAGGGGAGGCAGCCACCACUUCAUGUAGCAGUGGCAAGCAGUUCCUGGUCCCCAGCGCAGCUCCUGAGAGCGAAGGGGUCACCAUUCGCGGGCAGCUCUGCCUGAGGCCAGGCCCCCAGUGGUCUGAGCAUUCCUUGGCCCCAAAGCCAGAAGCACAGACGGAGCCAGCCGCCCCUGGCACGUACGAUGCCCUUCCACACGCUCCUCCUGAGAUGGACCAGCUCUGUGAGCUCCUCGCCCACCUCCUCACACCCCCAAGUCCAGCAGACCGGCUCUGGGGACCCCGGGGCCCUGGGGUUGAUGAGAACAAACAACCACAGCCUCUCGUGGGGCGAGAGGCAGCCAGUGAAGGUGGCAGCCCAGACAGGGUCACUCAGCUCUGGAGGGCUCCCGAGGCCUCCUCCCAUGUACGAGAGCCCCCCAGUACUCACUAUGUCCCCCUGGAGGGGCCAGUUCCCACGCGAGGAUACUGCACGAGCCACAGCAGACACCUGGACUAAGCCGACUGCUUUCCCGCCAGAAAGGUGACCCUUUGGAGAGGUAACCCCUUGGAAAGGUGGCAGAUCCAGGACUACAGCAGGGGAGACAGCAGCCAAGGCCACAGCUUGUCAGGCACGGGACCAGGCUGCAGAUCCCACCUGGUCUCAGGUCCCAGACCUGUCACCUACAGACUGUGUGACUUUGGGCUUCUCACGCCACCUAAGCCCCGUUUCCUUCUGUAAAGUGGACGUGGUGUCAGAUCUACUUCACAAGAGGCUGGGAAUAGUUAGUGAGGUGAGGUGUGCACAGCAACAACCUUAGCGGGGCUUCCUGUCCCCUUCACCUCCCAGCUCAGUGUGUGACCUUGAACAAGCCAUCCUGCAUCUCUGAAUAGCAGUUUCCCUUGGCAUCCUUAAGGCAUCUGUCACAGGGCAGAUUGAGAGAGAGCUGUGUAGACCACCAGCCAGGUAAUACAUCCUUAAUCCAUUUAGGGUCCCCUGUCGGCCUCCCUUUGCUCUCUGCUAACUUCUGAUUAACAGAGAACAAGGCCCAGCUAGAGCCCAGGGUUAGCUCACAGGCCUGCUCUAUACCCAGGGUUGGGGCUCCACCCUCUGGGCUGCCUGGAGCGGGGCCCCCCUCCACAGCCUCUCCUGCCCCCAUAUGCACACAUGCAUGCACACUUGUGCACGCGCACGCGCGCACACACACACUUUCCUCAUGGGGGCCCCAAGAUAGACCGUCCUUGUCCUCCAGCCAAAACCCUCUCUCUUGGGGUAACAGGGCCAGCCCCUCAGCUUCGCAUCUUUGAAGUGGGGAGGAUGGCCCCUGCCUCCCAGGCCAGUGGUGAGCAAUAAAAGUUACAUCAGUAAAGGCCCCUUUGGAGUAUACAGAAGGUGCUUAAUAAAUGGUGCCUGCCUUGCUCUCCCCAGAGCUGAGCAUAUGACUCCGCCAUUUUCAGUCCCUAAAGAUUAAAGGGGACCACACGUGGGAAGGAUUUAAGGGGCACCAGCCCCACUUCCCUCCCAGGCAGACAGAGGGCCAGCCCCCACACAGGCUUUUUGAGACAAAUCAGGAAGCAGUCUGCACUGGGGAGAAAGGGGUGUACUGGUCACCCAACCACCCCUCCACCCACUUGCCUAUCCAUCUACCCACCCACCCAUCCAUCUACCCACCCACCCAUCCAUCAUCCAUCUAUUCCAUCCAUCCUCCCAUCCAUCAUCCAUCCAUCCAUCCAUCCUUCCACCCACCCUCUCAUGAAAAUUACCCAGCACAGCACCCAGCAGUUGUCACUCAAGCUGGUGAGCUGUCAAUGUCGGGCUGGUGGGGGGUGAGGCAGAGGGCGUCAGGAACCUUAGAAGGGAUGAAGACCCGGGAACCAUGGCAACCAGGGCUUCUCCUCAGGGCAUCUAGUCCUGGAUCUGACCUGCAGCCCGUGACUAUUCUUUACUCAUAAUUAUCUGAUUAUUAACAUAAUAAGCACGCUGGGCCCCAACCCACAAUAGAACUUUUGCUCUCCUCCAAUGUUCCUGCCCCCCGGUGUUGCCCAUCUACUCCAAAGCUGAAGCCUCAGGUAGAUAUCAUUCUUGAUUUCGCUCUUGCACAUCCCUCAUCCAACCACAGCUGUCAGUCACAACAGGGACCAAAUCUGACCACAUCCCUCCUUGUCCCACAAAGGUCUGAACCCCUUGUCCGAGCUACCAUGGCUUCUCAGAUCCCUGGAGGACACCAGCCCCCUCCCUUGUCUCCCAGUCUCUGCCCUCACCUCCUGCAGUCAGCUCCACCCCGCUGCCAGAGGAUCCAGUUAAAACCUCUCUGUCCCUGGAGUUCCCAUUGUGGCUCAGCAGUAAAAGAUCCAACUGGCAUCCAUGAGAAUGUGGGUUCAAUCCCUGGCCCUGUUCAGUGGGUUAAGGAUCUGGUGUUACCAUAAACUGUGGUAUAGCCCGCAGAUGUGGCUCAGAUCCAGGUUGCUGUGGCUGUGGUGUAAGCCGGCAGCUGUCGAUUUGACCCCUAGCCUGGGAACUUCCACAUGCUGUAGGAGUGGCCCUAAAAUGAAAACAAGAACGAAAACAAGAACUAAAACAAGAACACUGUCCCAACAUGACUCUCAUGUGCUCAAUUCCCUUCUGGGGCUCCCAAGGCCAUACAAAGCCCCGUAGGCUUGGUCCCUCCUACCCCGCUGACCACAUCUCACGCACCCUUCCUUGCCAGCCCACUGCAGCCAAGCUACCCUUGACGUCUGUUUUUUUUUGUUGUUGUUGUUGUUGUUUGGGUUUUAUUUUUUUGUCUUUUUAGGGCUGCACCCAUGGUCUAUGGAGGGUCCCAGGCUAGGGGUCCAAUCAGAGCUGUAGCCACCAGCCUACGCCACAGCCACAGCAAUGCCAGAUUCGAGCCGCGUCUGCAACCCACACCACAGCUCACAGCAAUGCCUCACUUAACUCACUGAGCGAGGCCAGGGAUCAAACCUGCAUCCUCAUGGAUAUUAGUCAGAUUCAUUUCUUCAAGCCAUGAUCGGGAACUCCAACUUCUGGGAUCUUAACAAGCUAAAUCCACCCGCCCCGCCUCACAGCCGCUGCCCUCACCCCACCUGAGCCCCCCAGAUUCUCUUGUUAUUCACACCUCACCUUAAAUGUCACCUUCUCAGAGAGGUGGUCUUCCCUGGCCACAUCGGCUCAGUUCAAUUUUCUGCACAAAGACACUUUAAGUGUAUUUCAUUUUCCAUUUCCCCGACUCGAAUAUAAGCUCCAUGAGAGGGACUUGCCUCGUUCACAAGCGUGUCCAAGGAUCCAUCUAGGGAAACCAUUGAAUGAGUAUAAAAUGUAGAAAAGACAGAUGAAUAUGAAAACAGAAGCAACUAUGAGCGAGGCCAGUCAUGCCCAGAGCCCUACGUGAGCAAUGCUCCCAUGUGACAGAUAAGACAACCAAUGCUCCUGAGAGGUUCGAUGACGUGCCGAGGUUUCCUGGAACUCCUGGAGGUCCAAUUCCGGAGAGCAUCAGGCUAGGAGAGGUGUUCCCAAAGGGUAGUUCCUGGACCAGCAGCCUCAUCAUUUAUUGGCAAGUUAUUAGAAAACAAAUUCCCAGGCCCAUCCCAGAGCUGCUGAAUUAGAAACUGGGGGUAGGCCCUCCAGGGGAUUCAGAUGCUCUGAAGUUAGCGAACCAUAAGCUAGAGAGUCCCAAAGGGCACAGCACCGGGAGUCACCAGCAGCUGCAGGGCCCCUAAAAGAGGGUUUCCCAAUGUGUCUCAAGGAACACUAGCACGUCCAGGGAUCUUUAACGGAUUUUCCCCAAAUGAGGGGUUCUACUGUCAAGCAAGUUUGAGAAUCCUCGACUACAACAAAGUUCAGCAGGUGUUUUUUCUGCAGGACUUCUCGACUUGAACUAGGCUAAAAGACCUGUGUAUCUCAGACAGUGUGUCCAGAUAGUGUUGCCCCAAUUUUCUGGACUACAGAACCCCCAUUUCCCAGAACACCUAUUACUAUCUCCCCUGUGUGCCAAGGACCCCAGGCUUCAAGAAGGAAAAGCAGAAAUUCAACAAGGCAGCCGUAAGAGCCAAUGCCCAUCCAGACGCCACAAGACUGGGUUUCAACUAGCUUCUGUCAAACGGCUUUUGCCAAGUUCACCAUCUUAUGCCAACUAGAGGGACAGAGAAUUCACUCCAGCCUUAAGGGAGCCGCGGGGAUAGGGUUGUCAGGAAAAGAAAGCCACGUGCCAGUGGCCCUGGGGCCUCUGGUGAGUCACCUGCCGCCAAAGACCAGAGGCACUGGGCACAGUGUUACCGUUAAUAGAUUCUCAAACAGUGGAGGGCUGACAUUUCCAAGAGCCUGUCAAUUAUUUUAAUAACUGUGACUCUUGGGGCGGGGGGAGGCCAAGGGGAUGAGUGUUACUCACUCGGCAGAUACGUGAGCAUUUGCGGUCAGCUCCCCCCAACAGCCCCAGGCUCUAGGGAAAUGAGGGCGAUGUGGAUUCAAUAGCGCCCAGGGUGGACGGGUUCUGGAAACAUCGUCCACCUGCUCUCAGAGCAGUAAGUACAAGCUCUCCUUCACCAGGUUUGACAGUGAGAGUCUGCGGGAUCCCCAGGAAGGGUCUCUGACUGAUGGAGCCCCGAGCUGGGGGGGGCGCCUCUCGUCGAGGUGAGGGCUCAGGUGGAAAGGAAAGGAGGCAAGAAGGGGAAAUCAAGCGGCCAUCACUUCCCGGGCCACAGGCAGCCACGGCCUCCUGAGAGCCUCCCUUGGACGGGCGCCGAGGCCCCAGCUCCACCACUCCAAUCUAGUAACGGUAACACGGUGCCCAGUGCCUCUGGUCCCCAACUCAGCUCUGGUGGAGGGCGGGUGGGAGCUGGGCUGUGGGACCAGCACGGAGUAAGACGCGGGCAGCACAGCCCUGCGGACACAUGAGAGUGCUCGGUGCCUCCAAGCCCCACCCCAGGCCUCUGGGCCGAAGGACGCCCUCUGGCCAUUUCCAGCCCCACAGCCAAAGAACCCACAGCCAGCCUCGAGCACACCAACGGUACCCUCUGCAAAACCCGACCUGAGGGCCUCACCCAGGAACAUGGUCGUGUCCCCCUCCCUCUCCCCUUUCCUAACGUGAGCUGAGCCAGAUGAUGUGACCCAGCUUGUGGUCGACAACUUCCCUCUCGCCUUUCCCCCAGUUCUAGCAAAGCCCAGUUAGAACUUUCCAGCUUAUCUCAGUGGUGCUUUGCAAGCAUCACCAUCCACAUUGGAACCAAGGUGUGAAGCGGGUGGGGGGGUAGGCCCUGAUGCCAACAUUAGCCAGAGUAGGCGCUCCAGUGCCACACUGGACAGUAAGGCCCCUGGAGGAAGGAAGCCAAUCCCAGGACAGAAAGGGCCCGGGACCCUAAGGCCUCGAGCCACCACACCAGCCCUGCACCACCCACUGCUGUAUUUUUACAGGAAAGAAGAAUAUACUUCUAGCUUGG
rnacentral:lncRNA from 1 species